UGACCAAUCACGCAAGUGGUAUUGGGGCUUGCCAGCUUUCGGCAUCCCUUAAAAAUAGUGGCGGUGCUAUAGGCUCUCAGCGUAGUAAUUAUUCCGCUCUUGAGUCCUAGACGUACUUGCCAAAACCCUAACUUUCUUAAGG
rnacentral:misc_RNA from 1 species